ACAGUCCGACAAGGCUCUUUUGGCGCGUGGCCAAAAUCGGAACCCGCCAUCUAGAGAAUGCUCUUGUUGAUAGUUCGCUGUAUCGGCAUAAAGCGACAACUGCGUCCUCACUCAAGUGCUAAAAGAGCCUUAUCGGACUGUAUAAAUAUUUUUGAUAAUUCUUUUUUGUUUAAUAGAUUUU